rnacentral:rRNA from 1 species
CACGUAGGCACCAAGCGUUGUCCGGAUUUAUUGGGUGUAAAGGGCUCGUAGGCGGUUCGGUAAGUCGGGUGUGAAAACUCUGGGCUCAACCCAGAGCCGCCACCCGAUACUGCUGUGACUCGAGUGCGGUAGGGGAGCGGGGAAUUCCUGGUGUAGCGGUGAAAUGCGCAGAUAUCAGGAGGAACACCGGUGGCGAAGGCGGAUCUCUGGGCCUUACCUGACGCUCAGGCGCGAAAGCUAGGGGAGCGAACAGG